GCUGAUGUAGCUCAGUUGGUAGAGCACUUCCUUGGUAAGGAAGAGGUCAUCGGUUCGAGUCCGAUCAUCAGCU
rnacentral:tRNA from 3 species